rnacentral:rRNA from 1 species
ACGCUGGCGGCAGGCCUAACACAUGCAAGUCGAACGGUAACAAGAAGCAGCUUGCUGCUUCGCUGACGAGUGGCGGACGGGUGAGUAAUGUCUGGGAAACUGCCUGAUGGAGGGGGAUAACUACUGGAAUCGGUAGCUAAUACCGCAUAACGUCGCAAGACCAAAGAGGGGGACCUUCGGGCCUCUUGCCAUCAGAUGUGCCCAGAUGGGAUUAGCUAGUAGGUGGGGUAACGGCUCACCUAGGCGACGAUCCCUAGCUGGUCUGAGAGGAUGACCAGCCACACUGGAACUGAGACACGGUCCAGACUCCUACGGGAGGCAGCAGUGGGGAAUAUUGCACAAUGGGCGCAAGCCUGAUGCAGCCAUGCCGCGUGUAUGAAGAAGGCCUUCGGGUUGUAAAGUACUUUCAGCGGGGAGGAAGGCGAUGCGGUUAAUAACCGCGUCGAUUGACGUUACCCGCAGAAGAAGCACCGG